rnacentral:rRNA from 1 species
UAGUCCACGCCGUAAACGAUGAAUACUAGGUGUCGGGGGUCGAACCUCGGUGCCGCAGCUAACGCAUUAAGUAUUCCGCCUGGGGAGUACGGUCGCAAGACUGAAACUCAAAGGAAUUGACGGGGACCCGCACAAGCAGCGGAGCAUGUGGUUUAAUUCGAAGCAACGCGAAGAACCUUACCAAAUCUUGACAUCCUUUUGACCAUCAUUUAAUCAUGAUCUUACCUUCGGGUACAGAAGUGACAGGUGGUGCAUGGUUGUCGUCAGCUCGUGUCGUGAGAUGUUGGGUUAAGUCCCGCAACGAGCGCAACCCUUGUCUUUAGUUGCCAUCAUUAAGUUGGGCACUUUAAAGAGACUGCCGGUGACAAACCGGAGGAAGGUAAGGAUGACGUCAAGUCAGCAUGCCCCUUAUGCUCUGGGCUACACACGUGCUACAAUGGCCGUGACAAAGAGUUGCUACUUUGUGAAAACAAGCUAAUCUCAUAAACGCGGCCUCAGUUCGGAUUGCAGG